rnacentral:rRNA from 1 species
UACGGAGGGUGCAAGCGUUAAUCGGAAUUACUGGGCGUAAAGCGCACGCAGGUGGCUGAAUCAGUCGAUUGUGAAAGCCCUGGGCUUAACCUGGGAAUUGCAGUCGAUACUACUCAGCUAGAGUAUGGGAGAGGGUAGUGGAAUUCCCGGUGUAGCGGUGAAAUGCGUAGAUAUCGGGAGGAACAUCAGUGGCGAAGGCGGCUACCUGGCCCAAUACUGACACUCAGGUGCGACAGCGUGGGGAGCAAACAGG